UUUGAGUUUAUUCAACCACGUGACAAGUACAUGAAAAUACACUGUAUACGUGGUUUGGUACGAAGGGAAAAAAGCUGCAUUUCACAGCUUGACUGGCCCCUUCACCCAGAAAAAUAUCUAAAUUACAAAUUUAGAAAAAUUACAAAAAUUACAGGCAGCGGAAAGCGACAAUACAAAAAGAAACACGCAUGUGGCCCAUGACAGCAAAUAAUCGAAUCGCAGCUCUAAAAU
rnacentral:lncRNA from 1 species